rnacentral:rRNA from 1 species
UACGGAGGGUGCAAGCGUUAUCCGGAUUCACUGGGUUUAAAGGGAGCGCAGGCGGAUUUGUAAGUCAGUGGUGAAAGGCUUAAGCUUAACUUGGGAACUGCCAUUGAUACUAUAAGUCUUGAAUGUUGUUGAGGUUUGCGGAAUGGGUCAUGUAGCGGUGAAAUGCAUAGAUAUGACCCGGAACACCUAUUGCGAAGGCAGAUCACUAAGCCAUUACUGACGCUGAGGCACGAAAGCGUGGGGAUCAAACAGG